rnacentral:lncRNA from 1 species
CCUGAGUUGAAGAUAGAGUUUGAGGAGUCAUCCCAAUAUGGAUAGCAUUUGUUGUAAAUUAGAAGGUGGUAAAAACUUGCCUUUGGAAAAAAGUUUAAAAAUUGCAGUGAGACUUAUGAAUACUCUUCAACUUCACCUGUUGGAAUAAAGGUCUUUCUUGUAAUCAGGAGAUCCUGUUGACAUGAUAAAACAGAAAGAGUCAAAGAGGAUCAGAAAUAAAUGAAAUCUCUGACAACUAAACUGCUUAUGUGUUUAUCCUGUUGACUGAUUCUUUUCUGGAUUGUGCUCCUUGUGGGCAGACUUUCAUACUUAUCUUUAAAGAGGCUUGGAAAAUACCUUUCUUUACUGCCAGCACUUAGCAGAGUCCGCUGAGCUAGCCAGCUCCCAAGCGCCUGUCAACACUUCCUGUCGGCAACCAGAUUCCUUACAUUUUAGCAGUCAGAUACAUCCUCGUGAAACACAACUUUUUCUCUGCUGAAUUAGGACAUGGAAAUGAAGGACAUGGCAUCUAGGCUGGAACAGCUGCAUCAUCUUUGAUUGACAGUGAAUCCAUUUCCUAAAGAAAAAGCAGCUCUGGGCACCAAGACCCAACACCGCCUGGGAUCUAAUGAGCAAGGCUAAGGAGCAAACCCAGGAAGUCCACUGCAGCCUUGAGCUGAGUUCUUGCACCUUAGUACUCAGGACUCUAACCACCAGGUUACUACCUUUAGCCGUUUGCACAUAGUUUGCUGCUGACGUGGAGCAACACCUCUAAUGAAGAGUGUCAAGAACUGGGCACCGCCUGGUUCUUUCAGCAUGCCCAUAGUUAGUGACAAUGGUCACUUAUUUUCCUCCUGGGCCUAGGACUCUCUCAUGUAGACUGUGUGGCUGAAAAGAAGUUAAAUGAAGGACUGUGAAGAGUAGAGCUCUGAAAUGAAACCUCAGGGAUCUGCUUACACUCUCAGCCCACCUUCCAAGUUCCCCCCUCCCAUUUUCACCUGUUCUUUCAUCUGUGAUGGCUACCUUGAAAGUAAGGGUUAAUGUUUCAUCUCCCUCUCAAUCUCCCAACUCUUAACACUGUGCUAUGCACAGAGGAAGUGCUCCAUAAAAGCUGGGCAAAAUUAAAUGCAUAGAAUCAAGGAGUAUCUUAGAUUUAUAAACUAGCAGGUAUGGCCAUUCUAUCUGGGUUCUCAGAAAUCCCAGAUCUUAUCUUGUCACUCUUCUCACUAAAAAUCUCAUUUUUCCUUUGUCUUCAUUUUAAUACUCUAAGCUUCUUGACUUGAUAAUCAAUCCACACACAUUCUUGCCCCAAUUUGCUUGUCCGGGUGUCUUAGUUAUCGUAACUCAGGUUAUCGUUAACAAAAUACCAUUGACUAGGUGGCUUAAACAACAAAAGUUUAUUUCUUUCAGUUCUAGAGGCUAGAAAGUCCAAGCUCAAGGCAGUACAAGGUAGGUUUCAGUCUGCAGCCUCUUCUCUUGCCUCAUGGGUGGCUGCCAUCUCACUGUGUACUCACAUGAUCUCUUCUUUGUUUGCAUGCAGAGAAAGAGAGAGAGAGAGAGAGACAGUACUUUAGUGUGUCUUCUCAUAAGGGUGCUAUUCCCAUGUGAGCGCCCCACCCUCAUGAUCUCAUUUAACCUUAAUUACCUCCCAAAGCAACAUUUCCAAAUACUAUCACAUUAGGGGUGGGGUAGGGCUUCAAUAUAUGAAUUUUGACAGGACAAAAACAUUCUGUGCAAGACAUCAGGCACAUAGGCUAACAACAUCAUUCGUCUCCACCAUCCUCUUUACUUUAUUAUGCCCAUGCCUUUGUGAAGCCAGUCCAUCUCCGGAGAGCAAUUACUUCAGUCUGCCCAGCAACGACAAGGACAUGAAGUGCUUGAGGUUGGAGAACACAUCAGAUAUGCAGAAGCCAAGAAGUCAGGGCCUUGCAGAGGGACUCACAGACAGAGACCAGUUUGAGCCUGUAAGGAUGUGUUUUCAGUUCCCUCAUGCUGUUUAGGAAAAAGUCGCAGAUGUAGAGAAAGAGCUGGUUCUGCCCUCAGGCUGUGAUAAUUAAUGUCCUGUCUACUAAUGCAAAAUGAGGUCUUGGCCAGCCUUUCCUCUCAGGAAGCUUACUUGGCAGCCUUCCAAGCCUCUUGUAGUGUCUCCAAACUGAGGUCCACACAGUCCUGUAAUUGAGGGCAAAUGAUGCAAGGCAGGCUUGUACCUGAUGGCUAUUUGCAGGACGCCCACUCUUAGAUCAUGAAGGGCUUUGUCUUUCUCUUUAAUAUCAAGUUGCAGUGCAACAAGCACAGACAUUGAACUCAGACAGACUGUUCAACCCCCCAGCUCCAGCAAUCAAAAGCUGUGCAAUAUUUGACAAAUAAAUUUAUCCCUAUAUGUCUCUGUACUAUUUUCUGCAAAAACAGGUAAAUAAUAUCUAACAAAUGAAAUAAUUUGUUUUAAACACUUAGUCUGUAGCAGCACAUCCAUGGCACACACACACAAAAAUUGUUGGGAAACUUUUAAUACCUUCUUUUCUCCAUUCUCACUUUGUCUUGUGAGAAAGUAGGUGUAUAAUAAAUAUUUGUUGAAUAAGGAGCAAUGGAAUUGGGGUUGGGGAUAGGACUAUAACAAGAACUGGUUUGGGGCCGGCUCCCUGGCCGAGUGGUUAAGUUCACGUGCUCCGCUGUGGCGGCCCAGAGUUCGGAUCCUGGGCGCGGACAUGGCACCGCUCAUCAGGCCACGUUGAGGUGGCGUCCCACAUCCCACAACUAGAAGGACCUGCAGCUAAGAUAUACAACUGUGUACGGGGGAGUUUGGGGAGAUAAAGCAGGAAAAAAAAAAAAAAAAGAUUGGCAUCAGUUGUUAG